rnacentral:rRNA from 1 species
UACGUAGGCAGCGAGCGUUGUUCGGAGUUACUGGGCGUAAAGGGCGUGUAGGCGGCCAACUAAGUCCGACGUGAAAUCCCCAGGCUUAACCUGGGAACUGCGUCGGAUACUGGAUGGCUUGAAUCCGGGAGAGGGAUGCAGAAUUCCAGGUGUAGCGGUGAAAUGCGUAGAUAUCUGGAGGAAUACCGGUGGCGAAGGCGGCAUCCUGGACCGGCAUUGACGCUGAAGCGCGAAAGCUAGGGGAGCAAACGGG